rnacentral:rRNA from 1 species
CCUANGGGGGGCAGCAGUGGGGAAUUUUGGACAAUGGGCGCAAGCCUGAUCCAGCCAUGCCGCGUGUGUGAAGAAGGCCUUCGGGUUGUAAAGCACUUUCGGCCGGAACGAAAUCGCCUUUGUGAAUAGCGAAGGUGUAUGACGGUACCGGAAGAAGAAGCACCGGCUAACUACGUGCCAGCAGCCGCGGUAAUACGUAGGGUGCGAGCGUUAAUCGGAAUUACUGGGCGUAAAGAGCUUGUAGGCGGCUUGCUAAGUCCGAUGUGAAAGCCCUCGGCUCAACCGGGGAAGUGCAUUGGAUACUGGCGAGCUUGAGUAUGGGAGAGGAGAGCGGAAUUCCCGGUGUAGAGGUGAAAUUCGUAGAUAUCGGGAGGAACACCAGUGGCGAAGGCGGCUCUCUGGACCAAUACUGACGCUGAGAAGCGAAAGCGUGGGGAGCAAACAGGAUUAGAUACCCCGNUANUC